rnacentral:SRP_RNA from 1 species
GCUAUGUCGAUUGGGCAUCCGCACCAAGCUCGGCAUAGACAUUGUGAGCUGGAUGAGGACGGAUCACCUGCUCUACACCUCGCUAUAUCGAUUGGGCGUCCGCACCAAGCUCAGCAUAGACAUGGUGAGCCGGGGGUAGUCCCGCGCUCUCCAGGUCCCCUAAGGAGGGAUGAACCAACCCAGGCUGGUAACGGAGCAGGUCAAAGUCCCUGUGUUGAUCGGUGGUGGUACAGCACCCAUGAAUAGAAGGUGUAGGGCAGCCCGGUAUCAUGGCGAAACCCAAUCCUUU